rnacentral:rRNA from 1 species
UGCCAGACUCCUACGGGAGGCAGCAGUGGGGAAUAUUGCACAAUGGGGGAAACCCUGAUGCAGCGACGCCGCGUGAGCGAUGAAGUAUUUCGGUAUGUAAAGCUCUAUCAGCAGGGAAGAAGAUGACGGUACCUGACUAAGAAGCCCCGGCUAACUACGUGCCAGCAGCCGCGGUAAUACGUAGGGGGCAAGCGUUAUCCGGAUUUACUGGGUGUAAAGGGAGCGUAGACGGCGAUGCAAGCCAGAUGUGAAAGCCCGGGGCUCAACCCCGGGACUGCAUUUGGAACUGUGUGGCUGGAGUGUCGGAGAGGCAGGCGGAAUUCCUAGUGUAGCGGUGAAAUGCGUAGAUAUUAGGAGGAACACCAGUGGCGAAGGCGGCCUGCUGGACGAUGACUGACGUUGAGGCUCGAAAGCGUGGGGAGCAAACAGGAUUAGAUACCCUUGUAAC